AUCAUACUUUCAUUGACAUUACAGGCACACAUCCACAGAGCACUCUUCAAAUCAUCUACAUAGUGGUUAUCCAACUAGGAUUAUAAAGGCACACAUUGACAUAGACCACUGUUGCAAUCAACGACACAGUCGCUAUCCAAGUAGCAUUAUAGAGCUGUCAUGCAACGCAACAACUGUGCUAUCUGCCAUCGCACAUCAACGAAGAAGUGCAGCCGCCCACAUUCCACCUCACGUCUGUCCGACCAGCUGCAAUCCUCGAGGACGCCCAACUGUACCACGAUUUCACUACGAUGUUUGACAAGAAGGAGCAGUGCGCGAGAUAGGCUAAUGAGCAGACUUCCCUCGCUUGAGUUUCGGAAGAAUGUUCCAUAUCGCGCUAAGCUGACCACUGCUGACCAUGACAGGCGUGCAUUGGACUGGUACAGGUUGGAACUGAACAUUGAAUAUGCUGGUGGUGACGCUUUCUGAU